rnacentral:rRNA from 1 species
GACGACGCUGGCGGCGUGCCUAACACAUGCAAGUCGAGCGGGGUUGAAGCGAGGGGUAACUCGAGUUUCUACCUAGCGGCGGACGGGUGAGUAACGCGUGGGCAACCUGCCUCAAGGUUUGGGAUAACAGCCCGAAAGGGCUGCUAAUACCGGAUAUGCCUAUGGCCUCGCAUGGGGCUAUGAGCAAAGGGGAAACCCGCCUUGAGAUGGGCCCGCGUCCCAUCAGCUAGUUGGUGAGGUAACAGCUCACCAAGGCGACGACGGGUAGCCGGCCUGAGAGGGUGACCGGCCACACUGGGACUGAGACACGGCCCAGACUCCUACGGGGGGCAGCAGUGGGGGAUCUUGCACAAUGGGCGAAAGCCUGAUGCAGCGACGCCGCGUGAGCGAAGAAGGCCUUCGGGUUGUAAAGCUCUGUCUGGAGGGACGAACAAAAUGACGGUACCUCCGGAGGAAGCCACGGCUAACUACGUG